rnacentral:rRNA from 1 species
AACGAACGCUGGCGGCAGGCUUAACACAUGCAAGUCGAGCGCCCCGCAAGGGGAGCGGCAGACGGGUGAGUAACGCGUGGGAAUCUACCCAUCUCUACGGAAUAACGCAUGGAAACGUGUGCUAAUACCGUAUACGUCCUUCAGGAGAAAGAUUUAUCGGAGAUGGAUGAGCCCGCGUUGGAUUAGCUAGUUGGUGGGGUAAAGGCCUACCAAGGCGACGAUCCAUAGCUGGUCUGAGAGGAUGAUCAGCCACACUGGGACUGAGACACGGCCCAGACUCCUACGGGAGGCAGCAGUGGGGAAUAUUGGACAAUGGGCGCAAGCCUGAUCCAGCCAUGCCGCGUGAGUGAUGAAGGCCCUAGGGUUGUAAAGCUCUUUCACCGGUGAAGAUAAUGACGGUAACCGGAGAAGAAGCCCUGGCUAACUUCGUGCCAGCAGCAGCCGCGGUAA